ACCGCUGGAAGAAAAGUAGAUGCCCGGGACAAUGUAACGCUAAUUGCGAUGAAAAAAUUCGUCUUUUCGCCUUAAGUCAGCCGCUUUGCCUUCCCGGUUGCAAUGAAGAAGACUCACAAGUCACCGAAUUGAGUUGUUAUAGUGAAAUUUUUCGCAUCAAGAAAAAAAAGGGUUGACAAAUAUGAAAGAUGUCCGUUUUCAUGUUGGUGUGUUAAAGACUUGAAAAAGAAGCUCGUUGCAGAAAUUCUACGGGAAUGAACCAAAUGAUGCAUUUAUGUACUAUACGAAUAAAAAUAGUGGAUUCAAAAAGGUUUCUGGCUGGGACAAUGCACCGAAAAAUCGUAAUGAUUGGAAACACGAAACCGAAUUUCACUCUACAGUCUCAUUCCUGUGUUUUACGGUAUUAAUAACUUAAAAAAUUGAAGUGCAUAUCUGGGCUCCCUUCCUUUCCGUAGCCCCGUUUCCCCUUGACUCAUAAUAAGCCCGUAGGGGGUCAUGCCCCUACUGUACGGUAUAUUUAAAAACAACAUAUACCGAGGUUUGGAGGGCUCUGGCCGGAAAGGGGACGUGGGGUGUCCGCUUAGUCCGAUGAUGUGUUCACGGAGGGCGACGUGGCUACCCACAAAUCCGAAUUAAAGGUUAAUCGCUCCUGUAAAAAUGUUCCAAAUCUUCAGCUCUUCUUCCGGCUUCUCUUAGCCAAGCACCGGGUAAUCUCCCCGGUGGGUCAACUAAGGCAGUGUCUCCCCCUGCCUUGGUUGGCGGCAACUUUUGAAAGGGUUAUUUUGCCUUUCAAAAGUUGCAAAAAUAAUUAUAUUGUGGAGAAAAUUCAAUAAAAACGUUUUAAA